UGUGCCAGUUACUGUAGUUAGUUUCUAGAAUAUUUUUUAUGACGCCAUCUCUUUGAGCCCUUAAAAAAUAUGACUGUGAAGAGCAAAAGGCUUUUGAACUUUGUUAUCAGUUACAGGAAGGACAGGGACGGGAAAACAUCAUUCAGGAAGGACUCACCUUUACAAAGUAGAUAGGGGAAAGGAUUUUAUGUUGUAACAACAUUGUAUUUUUUAGUAAACUGUCUUGUCAGAAAUCAAGUGUCCUUCAUUUGAAAUGUGAACGAUAACUCGGCUGCAACAGUUAUGGGGACGUCUCCCUGUGUCUUGGUUGCUGUCUUCUCGGCCUGUUGGAUCACAAACGUCAUUCCCAGCCUUCCACAGACUCAACCAAUAGACUGCAUAACAAAUUCAUCUGUGCCGCUGGGGGAAAUAGAUGAAGGAUACAGAGGUACAGUCAUGAUCACUGCAUUGUCCUUUGCCAUUUCAAGCAUCUGUAUAAUGUGGUAUUUCUCAGCACGCUGUAAGUCAGCCAAAAAUGUUUCCAAAUCCACAAGGAAAGUUCAUUCCAUCUUCUAAGAAUCGUGGCAGUUUGCAAUUACAUGAUAGACAUGCAUAUCAAACGUGUUCACGGAAGUGCGAAGCGUACACUAAUUUGCCCUCAUCCACUUGGCCUGUGAAUACAACCUAGCCGUCUUCAUUAUACAAUAUAAUCAACUGAUAGCACACACAACGCAGACUAUAAUAUUAAGACUAAAAAUGUGAAGAUGUCCUAGCCGUCUUCAUUAUACAAUAUUUUAUUUAUUAUUUAUUUAUUAUUUAAUAUUAUGCAAUUUUUUUUUCUCUGACUUUAGCGUUUUUUAUUAUUAUAUUUGAUUUUUGUCAUUGAUUGUUUUACCGUAUAAAGCACCUUGAGAUUUAAUUGUAUUUUAAAGAGUGCUAUUUAAAUAUUAUCCAUUAUUUUUCAUCUGAUAGCACACACAAAGCAUACUUUAAUUCAAGAGUAUUGGAAACAGAAAAACACAUUAUUACUUCAUUUUGUGAGGUUAGGCUACAGCUUUGUGUGUGUGAGUGAGAGAGAAUGCCUCUGACAGUAUAGCACGAACUUGGUUUCUAUUACUGUAUUCAGCUUUCAGCAGCUGGGAACACGGUAACGAGAACAAAAACACUUUAGUGCUUCAGAAAAACUGAAUAAUUGUCUGUACAACAAUUUUCUGUAUGUAGAUAUAGUUUAGUAUUGUGCUAAAUUACACCAUGGAUACACUGACAAUGAAUAAUCCUUUCUGAACCAAGGCUCUCGUUGUUUUUUUGUCAUGCUAAAAAAUCUGAAGGCACAUUACGAGAAAAGAAAAUUCAAGUAUUCCUAUGACUCUUACGACCUGCCUUAAAUAAACCCCGUCAGUGAUGUGCGGGUCCAUAUGUGAGCUGGAUGAAACUAUGAGCUGUAGAACAGGCUAUUUCAAAAGUAAACAGACCGUAAAUGACCGAAACUCAAAAAUUCAUGUAGGCUACACACUGUCCACUUUUUUUUAACAGUCAUGCACUUUUUAUUACACGAGGACUACAUAAAUCAGGCUUUUUUUGCACUUUAAUCCCUGAUUGCACCUCCUUCCGGUUAAAACGACAGCAUUUGGACGUUGGCCCGGUUGGAGGUGCAAUCAGGAAUCAAAGCACAAAAAAACUUGCAUUUGGCCGUUGCAAGUGGAAAUGUGUGAAGUGACGUACUUAGAGUUUGUGUUCAGAUCACCCAGGACGCAUGUUUAUACCAGGUGUAUAGCGGCUCAGAGAGAGGCCCUCUGGCCAGACUUUGGUGUUACUGUCAGUGUGUGUUUGUGUGUGUGAGUGAGUGAGUGAGAAAGAUCAUGUUGCCAGCAAAUGUUUAUAUUUCCCCUUUCCUUCUAGAUGUAUGAUGUUUGACAUUCGAGACCAUGCAAAUAUAGCUUGGACAUGUUUAUGUGGUGCUGUCAUGUGAUAUAACACAACUUAGACUCAUAACACAACUUAGACUCACAAUACUAAGAGCACUCGGAACUUAGGUUCACAUCAUACUCUACCUGUGAAACAAAAAAUGUUUUGUGGAUUUGAGUGUGUGUGCAAACAAGAGAGCAGUGUUGUAGUCCAGGGUAUACGCGGGUAUACAGAGUAUACCCACUUAUUUUUCAGUCAGCAUUGCGUAUACCCACUUCUCAAAACAGGGCGUUUAUCCUGUGCUACUGUAUAUGGGCUGCUUAAAAAAAUUGCAAAAUUAAGAGUAUACCCACUUCUCCAGGGACCACUACACCACUGCAAGAGAGUAUUUCAAAAGUCUGUAUGCCAUUUAUGUCAGGUUUAAAUGCUGUGUGUUAGAUAAGUAAUGUCUCUUUGACCGUCCUAUUGCUAAUUCCGGGUCGCUCCCCAUUCAUUGGCUGAUCUCGUGUGCCUGAAAUAGCUGCUCAAAAUCCCCAUCCUUAGCUCUGACCCCAACUACCCCAGUAUUUUACCCCUACAUCUAAUCCUUGUGUUUUUCCCCACAGUAAACUACCCCAGUAUUUUACCCCUACAUCUAACAUGUCAAGCACAUCAUCAGUCAUUAUUAUUAUUUCUUCUUUCCUGCACGAGAACAGGUAUCAUAGAGAUCAUUCCAUAUGGCGUAUACAGAUGUCCACAGAUUUUAGUUUCUCCUCACUAUCCCUCACUGUCCCUCCAUAGUCUUGGUACACCUCAAAUUCGUUAGCAGCAGAAUCAAUAUAUCUUUCUUUUUGGUCAUUUUAUUUGUGUCCUUUUUUUAAAGAUCUGGCACAACCAGAAGGAAGAUUGAUUUCUGACAAUUUGUUACAGCUUAAUUUAAAUCAGUAUGCACGUUUAAGUGUAUAACACAACAGCUUUAACAAUGCUAUCAAUGUAUAUAAGUGUAUAUAAGUUAAGUGUAUAACAUAGCUGCUUUAACAAUGCAAACAUUUCAUUGUUGCAGUAUGAAUGAUAUGCACCAUCAGUAGACAGUUCAAUGAUCUUAUUCAUUUCAUAGUCUGCUCUGUAGAUGUUGCAUGCAUUCUGUUGUUAGAACACAUUUAAGCACACUGUCACGCCAGCACUGAGCCUUGCACCUGCCACACCCCCUCUAACCAAAACUCACCCAGCUGCAUCACUUUUCCGAUCACCUGAAUUCUGAUGGACUGCACCUGUCACGCUCACAAUAAGAACCCCUCACUCCCUUCACUCACUGUCUGGCCUUGUUGGUUAAUGGACGUAUCUUCCUGAUUCUUUCAUAUUCAGACAAAGCUCCCUGUGAUUUACUAAUCACCUCUCCUGUCUCCAGUUCCGUGAGAUAUUCCGAAUGUGUUUUUGUUUCCGAGCUCCAGUGUUUCCUUGGUUUCCUUCGUAUUCUAGUUCUCCGUACGUUUUGAAAAUACUUCUGGGCUUUACAUUUUGUAAUUCAGAACUCCUUGUGAGUAAUUUUUGUUUAAUCAAGAAAAGAUCUCCAGUGUUUUGGCUUUUUCAGUUCUGUAGUUAUCCUCUGAGCGUUCUCCCUGUUUUCUUUUGUUUUUUACCUGUGUGUUUUUCCCUUUCCCCUGGCUCUUCAUCCAAUAAAUCUGUUAACGCAUAUGUCCUGAUGUCCCUGACACACAGGUUUGAGGGUAGGAUGAUCAACCAUGCAUGCUGGUUGGUUCUGAAGCUGCAUAGUCUUGUAACCUUGACAAUUAGAAAUAACUUGGAAUAUAGAACAGAUGAUGACUGCAUGUAAUUCCGACAAAAAUUCCUUCUACCUGUGGUAUCUCCCAGUAUCAGGAAAGAGUGACAACAUUAUUCCUGAUCCUUCGUGUAAUGCAGGUGUCCUGAAAUGUAGGGGUGUUCUUUGAUUCUGAUUUCAGCUUUGUAAAUACUAGGUAGACAUCAUUUUGAAAAGUGUAGUUUGCAUUUGUGAAGGGAUUCUAAAAAAAUAUAAAAAAGCGACACAAUGCCUUUUAAUUCUACAAAUAAAGAUGAAAUUCUACAAA